CAUCACUGAAGAAGCAACAUGUAAGCUGCCCCUGCUGAGAAAGGGGCAUUUAUUCCGCAUGUUUGGAUGUGUAUCACGCGCAUGCCCAGUACUCAUGGAGGACAGAAGAGGGCAUUAGAUCCCCUGGAACCCGGGUCACCAUGUUGGUGCUGGGAGCUGAACCUGGGUCCUCCGCAAGAACAGCAAGUGCUCUUAACCUCUGAGCCAUUUCUCCAGCUCUGGAUCUCAUAAUUUAAAAAGUGAAGGGAUGGACUCCUGGCAAUUCAGAACGAAGUGUGCUUCCUUCCUGGAAGAUUCGGAAGAGCGACAGGGAAGCCACUUCUUACUUUAGAAGCGGCACACCUCCCCCAGUUAGAAUGUCCAUCAUCAAGAAAACAAUGACAGUACAUGCUGUCCAGGGUGUGCUGGUGGAAGACCACCAUUCGCUGUGGUGGGAGUUUAAACGUGGGCAACCACUGUGGAAAUCAGUACGGAAGUUCCUGAAAAACUGAAGAAGGAGCUACAAUAUAUGGCCCAUCUGUACUAUUUUGCUUAUAUGUUGGGACUCUGUCACCGUACCAAGAGGUACUCAUGCAGCCAUGUUUAUAGAUAUACUGCUUACAACAGCCAAGAAAGUGGGGAAUCCUAGAGUCCUGCCUGCAGACAGGUGGGUAAGAAAACGGGCUAUAUAUGCACAGCGGAAUUUUAUGUAACCAUGAGUUUAAAUGAAACCAUGGCAUCUGCCGGAAACUGGAUGCAAGUGGAAAUGACGUUAGCUGAAUGAGCCGAACAAAUAGUGUUGUGGAAUAUUAUUUUAACUGAGCAAAGAUGUGCUACCUUUGUUUAUGCAGUGAAUAUGACUUAGCUAUGUGAAGAUGUGUUAUAUUUGUUUCUGCUGCCUUUGUUAAUGAUAUAAAGAUGGGUU